UUGAAACACCAGUUCUUGUACGAUCACUGAAAAUAAGCAAUGUCAAGCCUGGUUAGUACAUAGAUGGGUGACCACUUUGGAAGUUCAGGUGCUGUAA